rnacentral:rRNA from 1 species
UACAGAGGUCUCAAGCGUUGUUCGAUUCAUUGGGCGUAAAGGGUGCGUAGGUGGCAUGGUAAGUCGGAUGUGAAAUCCCGGGGCUCAACCCCGGAACUGCAUUCGAUACUGCUGAGCUAGAGUACUGGAGAGGAGAUUGGAAUUUACGGUGUAGCAGUGAAAUGCUAGAUAUCGUAAGGAAGACCAGUGGCGAAGGCGGAUCUCUGGACAGUUACUGACACUGAGGCACGAAGGCCAGGGGAGCAAACGGG